ACACUCCUGCGGGAGGCAGCAGUGGGGAAUAUUGGACAAUGGGCGCAAGCCUGAUCCAGCCAUGCCGCGUGAGUGAUGAAGGCCCUAGGGUUGUAAAGCUCUUUCACCGGUGAAGAUAAUGACGGUAACCGGAGAAGAAGCCCCGGCUAACUUCGUGCCAGCAGCCGCGGUAAUACGAAGGGGGCUAGCGUUGUUCGGAUUUACUGGGCGUAAAGCGCACGUAGGCGGACUAUUAAGUCAGGGGUGAAAUCCCGGGGCUCAACCCCGGAACUGCCUUUGAUACUGGUAGUCUUGAGUUCGAGAGAGGUGUGUGGAAUUCCGAGUGUAGAGGUGAAAUUCGUAGAUAUUCGGAGGAACACCAGUGGCGAAGGCGGCUCACUGGCUCGAUACUGACGCUGAGGUGCGAAAGCGUGGGGAGCAAACAGGAUUAGAAACCCUAGUAGUCCCA
rnacentral:rRNA from 1 species